rnacentral:sRNA from 1 species
GUACUGUAUAAAAUGUACAUUGUACAUAUGUCGAUGCUUUUUUAAUGUUCGUUUCGCAUGUCACUCAUUUUUCCAAUCUGGCAAUGCCCUGCUGCCCGCGUCCUCAGAUGAAUUUUUGUGGCUUUACAAUGAGCAAAAAGAGAUCAGAUCCGAUUGCUCUCCCGCUCUCUCGUUACAAAUCAUAGGGCAAAGAGGGAGGAGGAGUCCCAUCAGGUUUGGGUGUGUGUGCAAUGCCUCUCACUUUUUCGUGUAGUUGCAUUACAAAAGCAGCGCCGUGACGUCAUUUAUCUGUGAGCAGCGAUAGCCUUACAGAAGAGUUUCGGAAUUUCCUGGUUCAAAUUUCAUAUACAUAGGUACUUUUAAGGCGUAGAACCAAGUGCCUGUCAAUCGAAUGACUGACAAAGAGGCACACGCUGUAGAUAAGCGCUGGUGCAGAUAACAACGAAAUGAGCGACUUUUACAGAUAGUAACCUUCCCGAAAAACAUUUAUUUCGAACGAUCUCCAAUGCACUUCUCUGCUUUUCCAUAUUUAUAAAUAAAAUUUGCAUUACAUGUGGCAGUUAGUUAAUUAAUUGGCACCCCACAGCAUGUGUUUGCUCGUUAUUUAUGUAUCUGGGAUUAUAACUUAUUUAUUCCGCUAAUCCCACGAGCCAAUUGUUGUUAUAUGUAUUUGUAUUUCUUGCAGUGUCAUUGCAAUGGGGUGGAGGGAAUGGAGAGGAGGAAGCUGCCCGAAACCGACUAUACUCAUUCAGAGAUGGAGAGGAAUGUUGUCACCGAUCAAGUACUCGUAAUGUCUACAUUGAAACAUUGCCAAUUAAAAUUGUUUCGCCUAGUUGUUACUGCGAAAUCCAUUCCAUUUCCCUCUGGGAAUCUUAGGCGCGCGCUCCAUCAAUCAACUUGAUUCUGCUUAACACGUCAGAAGUAUCUUUCGCCUGGCAUCGUCGUUCCCUUUAAAUCAAGCAAUGAAUAUUUAAACGCAGAACCAGAUCUGGUCAUUAGGGAGAAAGAGACGUAAGCAUCUAAGAUCGGAACUGGAAUCUCAUCGGCGGAAUGGGAAUAUGAGUAAGAUCCCAGUGGAAUUGAAUUAAUUGAUCUGCUGGGAGAAACCGAUUUCGUUUGUAUUCUUUGGUUGGUCUUAAUGGCCUAUUAUUUAUAAACAAUUUUGGUAUUUUGUAAUCUCGCUGGUGCCGAAGAUUAUUUAUAGACAGAAUGCAGA